UAACUCAGUCGGUUAGAGCGUGGUGCUAAUAACACCAAGGUCGCGGGUUUGAUCCCCGC
rnacentral:tRNA from 1 species